AACGCACAUUGCGCCCCCUGGUAUUCCGGGGGGCAUGCCUGUCCGAGCGUCAUUGCUGCCCUCAAGCCCGGCUUGUGUGUUGGGCCGCCGUCCCCCGCCUCCCGGGGGACGGGCCCGAAAGGCAGCGGCGGCACCGCGUCCGGUCCUCGAGCGUAUGGGGCUUCGUCACCCGCUCUUGCAGGCCCGGCCGGGCGCCCGCCGGCGACCAUCAUCCUCUCUCCAGGUUGACCUCGGAUCAGGUAGGGAUACCCGCUGAACUUAA
rnacentral:misc_RNA from 1 species